GUUGACCUCGGAUCAGGUAGGAAUACCCGCUGAACUUAAGCAUAUCAAUAAGCGGAGGAAAAGAAACCAACAGGGAUUGCCCCAGUAACGGCGAGUGAAGCGGCAACAGCUCAAAUUUGAAAUCUGGCCCCAGGCCCGAGUUGUAAUUUGCAGAGGAUGCUUUUGGCGCGGUGCCUUCCGAGUUCCCUGGAACGGGACGCCAUAGAGGGUGAGAGCCCCGUACGGUUGGACACCAAGCCUUUGUAAAGCUCCUUCGACGAGUCGAGUAGUUUGGGAAUGCUGCUCUAAAUGGGAGGUACAUUUCUUCUAAAGCUAAAUAUUGGCCAGAGACCGAUAGCGCACAAGUAGAGUGAUCGAAAGAUGAAAAGCACUUUGGAAAGAGGGUUAAACAGCACGUGAAAUUGUUAAAAGGGAAGCGCUUGUGACCAGACUUGCGUCCGGUGAAUCACCCAGCUCUCGCGGCUGGGGCACUUCGCCGGCACAGGCCAGCAUCAGCUUGCCGUCGGGGACAAAAGCUUCAGGAACGUGGCUCCUCUCGGGGAGUGUUAUAGCCUGUUGCAUAAUACCCUUCGGCGGGCUGAGGUACGCGCUCCGCAAGGAUGCUGG
rnacentral:rRNA from 1 species